rnacentral:rRNA from 1 species
ACGUCGACACCUACGGGGGCAGCAGUGGGGAAUAUUGCACAAUGGGGGAAACCCUGAUGCAGCGAUGCCGCGUGAAGGAAGAAGUAUCUCGGUAUGUAAACUUCUAUCAGCAGGGAAGAAAAUGACGGUACCUGACUAAGAAGCCCCGGCUAACUACGUGCAGCAGCCGCGGUAAUCUGAGCGGGCUGGCAAGGC